rnacentral:lncRNA from 1 species
GGUGAAGUACGAUUUAUCGUACGGUUUUCGUCUGUAGGUCCUCGACGUUUUACGCAACCUCCAUCUAUCUAUCUAUUUUGUAUCAAUCAAGUUAACAUUAAUAAAGUAAUCAUCUUUAUCCGAUUAUCAUGGUAUCAGAGCAGUGUUAAAAUCCUACUCCGGAAAUCUCUCCGCGUCAACUCCAAUCUUCAAUCUUCGAUGGCGAUUCCAAUCUUCGAAAAUUUCUUCAACAACGCGUUCGACUAACAACGACGCAACAACAUACAUCUUCGAAUCAAUUCCAAUCUUCGAUUCAACGACGCACGACGCAACACCUACAUGACUGAGAUGGAAAAGAACACGACGAAAUCUGAAAAUUCGUUUUACAAAUCGAAACAGACAUAUGAAUUUGUGCAAUUGGACUGGUGAGACAUGCCUGAUUACACCAGUCACUAC